UACGGAGGGUGCAAGCGUUAUCCGGAUUCACUGGGUUUAAAGGGUGCGUAGGUGGGCUAGUAAGUCAGUGGUGAAAUCUCCGGGCUUAACCCGGAAACUGCCAUUGAUACUAUCAGUCUUGAAUACCGUGGAGGUCAGUAGAAUAUGUCAUGUAGCGGUGAAAUGCUUAGAUAUGACAUAGAAUACCAAUUGCGAAGGCAGCUGGCUACACGAAUAUUGACACUCAGGCACGAAAGCGUGGGGAUCAAACAGG
rnacentral:rRNA from 1 species